rnacentral:lncRNA from 1 species
UAGUGCAAGAGUGUUGGAGCUCUUUGGCGUGGUCAGAGCGCGUGCUGGCUUGGCUCACCUUACUAUGAGUACUAUAAUUACUAUGUGUCUGACUUAGUUUCGUGAAGAUUAUUUCACGUCUCUAAAACUAUGCUAUGCAUCACAUAAAACGGCACGAUAGUAUUUGUUAGGCCCUUUCCUGCGGUAUUACUGUGUACACAACAUCGAUUAGGGCACAGGAACAUUGUCAAGAGAGAUGGACUGAGUGUCCCACAGUUCUGUCAGACUUGAUGUACACAGAGCAAUCAGAGAAGACCAGCUAAUGGUAAAUAAUGGGCGUGGGGUGGGAAGUGUUUAUCCAAUGUGGUGGGCAAGUCACCCCUGUGUAGCUAUAAUGACAGUAAUCUAGAGGUCCUCCUAACUGACUUCACCGUUAUGGGUAUUUAACCCUUUCCUUGUGCGUAAAAUGACAGUGAUAAUAAUACUACUUAGAGAAUUACGAGGAUUAAAUGAGUUAAGCAUAUAAAGUGCAUAAAAAAAUCAGGUGACAGCAAGUAUAAGCCAUUAUUUACCAGUUACUAUCUCCUAAAUAUGUCUUUCAUGUAGCCAUUUAACCCAAAAACAGUAAUUGAGGCUCAGAGAUAUUGGACAAUUUUCACUCCCUUUCGUGUCCAAUAUUUCCGAAAUGCUAUCCAAAUACUAUAGAACCAGAAAUAAUUUGUAGAAAUAUUUCUGCACUUCUCACAGUGAUUUAUUAUCAGGUCUCUUUGGCUGUACCCACUGGCUUAGUGAAACAGAAAAAAAAAUACAUUGUUUCACUUAUGAAGUAAUAAUGAUGAACUUUUCACGUGUAUAUGGGUUUAUUUUCUGUAGGCAGACUGUUGGUGUCCCUGGCCAUGUUUUUUUCUAAUGGAACAUGCAUUUUGUAAAAUUUUCAAGGAAGGAAUAAUAUGAUCAAGUUAAUGUUUAAAAAAUAAAAAUUCCUACCCAGUCUUAUAGCUCAUAUAUGUAAUCUCAGCACUCAGGAAGGAGCCUGGGCUCCCUAGUGAGUCCUGGAGUGAGAGAGAAGAAGGAAAUAACAUUAGACGGGUUGGGAUUUUUGUUGUUGCAGCUGCUGCUGCUGUGCUGGUUUGCUUUGGUUUGGGUUUGGGUUUGGGUUUGGGUUUGGGUUUGGUUUGUUUGCUUUCAGCUCUUCUGGUACUGGUGAUUGAACCUAAGCCUUACCUACAGAGCCUACCUAUAAGCCUAGCCCUAAAGAUCAACCUCUUAAAGACACUGUUGAGUAGGAGUUCCGGUGAGGGGUAAAAACUCUCCAGGAGUUUACUGUUGGCCGUGAAGGAUGGUCUGAAUCCAAUCUACAGGAGAGAAAAACAAUCAAGGAGCUUGAGAUUAGGAGACAGAAUUGGAAGCGGCAUAAAUGCAAAAGAUGUGUGUGUGUGUGUGUGUGUGUGACAUGUUUCUGCUUUGGGGGCUCCAUUUGCUGGUGCAGAGGAUACAGAGAAGGAAACAGCCUGUAUAAGGUAGAUGUUCUGCCCAGACACGUUGACUAGAGAUGAUAAAACGUGGACUUCAAAGAGGUCCCGGUUAAAGAUGUACUGUAUUUUGUCAAGUUUAUAUAUGCAUAUUUUUGCACUUUAAAAAUCUCUGGGGGGGGGGUCUGGGAGACUUUUGGGAUAGCAUUUGAAAUGUAAAUGAAGAAAAUACCUAAAUAAAAAAAAUCUC